CCUACGGGGGGCUGCAGUGAGGAAUAUUUUUCAAUUUACUAUAUUCUGACCCCGCCCCGUCGCGUGAAGGAUGACUGCCCUAUGGGUUGUAGACUUCUUUUAUAUGGGAAUAAAAUGUUCCACGUGUGGGAUUUUGUAUGUACCAUAUGAAUAAGGAUCGGCUAACUCCGUGCCAGCAGCCGCGGUAAUACGGAGGAUCCGAGCGUUAUCCGGAUUUAUUGGGUUUAAAGGGAGCGUAGGUGGAUUGUUAAGUCAGUUGUGAAAGUUUGCGGCUCAACCGUAAAAUUGCAGUUGAAACUGGCAGUCUUGAGUACAGUAGAGGUGGGCGGAAUUCGUGGUGUAGCGGUGAAAUGCUUAGAUAUCACGAAGAACUCCGAUUGCGAAGGCAGCUCACUGGACUGCAACUGACACUGAGGCUCGAAAGUGUGGGUAUCAAACAGGAUUAGAUACCCUUGUAGUC
rnacentral:rRNA from 1 species